rnacentral:rRNA from 1 species
UACAGAGGUCCCGAGCGUUGUUCGGAUUCACUGGGCGUAAAGGGUGCGUAGGUGGUGAGGUAAGUCGGAUGUGAAAGCUCCAAGCUCAACUUGGAAACAGCAUUGGAAACUACCUUGCUAGAGGGUUUGAGGGGGGACUGGAAUACUUGGUGUAGCAGUGAAAUGCGUAGAUAUCAAGUGGAACACCAGUGGCGAAGGCGAGUCCCUGGACAAUACCUGACACUGAGGCACGAAAGCUAGGGGAGCAAACAGG